CUGCGGAGGUCAUUACCUAGAGUUGUAGGCUUUGCCUGCUAUCUCUUACCCAUGUCUUUUGAGUACCUUCGUUUCCUCGGCGGGUCCGCCCGCCGAUUGGACAAUUUAAACCAUUUGCAGUUGCAAUCAGCGUCUGAAAAAACUUAAUAGUUACAACUUUCAACAACGGAUCUCUUGGUUCUGGCAUCGAUGAAGAACGCAGCGAAAUGCGAUAAGUAGUGUGAAUUGCAGAAUUCAGUGAAUCAUCGAAUCUUUGAACGCACAUUGCGCCCCUUGGUAUUCCAUGGGGCAUGCCUGUUCGAGCGUCAUUUGUACCUUCAAGCUCUGCUUGGUGUUGGGUGUUUGUCUCGCCUCUGCGCGUAGACUCGCCUCAAAACAAUUGGCAGCCGGCGUAUUGAUUUCGGAGCGCAGUACAUCUCGCGCUUUGCACUCAUAACGACGACGUCCAAAAGUACAUUUUUACACUCUUGACCUCGGAUCAGGUAGGGAUACCCGCUGAA
rnacentral:rRNA from 1 species